CCUACGGGAGACAGCAGUGGGGGAUAUUGCACAAUGGGGGAAACCCUGAUGCAGCGACGCCGCGUGGGUGAAGAAGUAUUUCAGUAUGUAAAGCCCUAUCAGCAGGGAAGAAAGAAGACGGUACCUGACUAAGAAGCCCCGGCUAACUACGUGCCAGCAGCCGCGGUAAUACGUAGGGGGCGAGCGUUAUCCGGAUUCACUGGGUGUAAAGGGAGCGUAGACGGCCGUGCAAGCCAGGAGUGAAAGCCCGGGGCCCAACCCCGGGACUGCUCUUGGAACUGUGCGGCUGGAGUGCGGGAGGGGCAGGCGGAAUUCCUGGUGUAGCGGUGAAAUGCGUAGAUAUCAGGAGGAACACCGGCGGCGAAGGCGGCCUGCUGGACCGCGACUGACGUUGAGGCUCGAAAGCGUGGGGAGCGAACAGGAUUAGAUACCCCGGUAGUC
rnacentral:rRNA from 1 species